rnacentral:lncRNA from 1 species
CUGUAAAGAGCCUGGUAGAAAACUAUAAAUAGGUAAAGUUUCAACACGCAAGACCGUGUACCAAGUCAACGUUAGUCUAUUAGCAGGUGCAAAACAUGGAAAGACAAGGAAGAAAAUAAAUCAGAGUGCACACAAAAGGAAUCCCAGUCACAUACAAUUAAUCAGAUCAAUAGAAUUUCAGUCAAGACAGUCGAGAGCAAAGCAAGUAUUUAAGACAAUGGAAAGGCAAUCAAAGCUACCAAGAUUCACUCCUAAUUAAAGCAAUUUUUAUGGAAAAACAAUCAAGCGAGCCAAGUUGUCUUCCAAGUCAGUUCAGUAAUUACAGGGAAUUACUAGCUUAUGUAUGUAUGAUAUAGACUAGAAUUGAAAUCUGUUAGGAUUUGCUAAAAAUAGAGAAAGUUUGUAAUUAUCUCCACUGCACAAGGAACUUGUAUAAAUUCAACCAUUUUGCAUGUUCAUAAGCACGUUGAGCUGAGAACUCUUAAACCACAAUUUUUUUCUUGUUAUCAGAGUAGGAAUUCUGUUACCAUGGCCACUAUCUCUCUCAAUGUCAGCUACUUUGUCAACCUCAAACUUAACCCAGAAAAUUACCCACUGUGGCGUGAGCAAAUCAUCUCACUAGCCGAAAGCUAAGAUUUACACAAUCAUCUCAGUGGAGAUUAGAACGCCCCAACCAUGUAUACUCCAGAAACCGCAAAAACACACAAACCUAUACUCAGUGAAGACUAGCUACCUCAAAUGGAGAAAGUUAGAUCGGCUACUUCGGGGGUGGAUCAUUGGCACCCUGACAGAGGAAGCCCUCGGACUGGUUGUUGGACUUCAAACUACUCAUCAAGUUUGGGGUGGACUUUAAGAAGCCUAUGCCCAAGAUUCCCAAGAAAGAGAAUUCAUUCUACAUCAACAACUUACGUAUCUCAAGAAAGAUAUUACAACUCCUUUACCGGAGCAUCUCCGUCAAUUUAAAAAAUUGUGCGAUAGUCUUGCAACUAUUGGUCGUCCAGUGCAAGACCAAGAGAAGGUCUACUCUCUCCUUACAAGUCCAGGUCCUCGUUAUGAGACCUUCACCACCACAAUGCUGAAACCACCCAUGCCUGGAUACACAGAGGUAGUAUCCCAAGGGUAUGAACAACGUGUUCGAUGGCAUGAACCACAACAUCUUGCAUUCUACGGUCAACGACAAAGGAACCAACAAGGUAACAACGAUCAUUUUUCGGGUCAUAAAGGCAGUAGCAAUCGUUCAUCUGGAUAUGAAUUCACCUCCCAAGGCCGUGGCUUCCAACCCGCAAAUACAAAUUUCACUGGAGGUCAGAAUGAAAAACACAAAUCUGUUAACAUUGAAGGGACUCAUUUUCGUCAAAUGAUGCCGGUAGAACGUGAACGUUACCAUAAAGAAAAGUGCCAGAUCUAUGACAAACUUGGACAUAUUGCAUCCAUCUGUUGGUACAAGGAUAAACAUUUUCAUCCAAAAGAAAUUCCUCAUGCUCUUGUUGUCCUCACACUUGAUACUUCAAUACAAGAUACCGAAUGUACAACUGAUACGGGUGCUUCAAAUCACAUUAUGGGUAAUUCCAAACUUUUGUUCAAUUUACGCUCAUAUCUGGGAACAAAUUCAGUUCUCAUUGGUAAUGGGGAUGCUCUCUCCAUUAAAGGCGGUAAUACACUGAUCAAAAAUGGUAAAGAAAAAUUAAUGUUGCUCGAUGUUCUCUUAAUUCCAUCUUUGGCUCGUAAUCUAUUAUCAGUCAGUCAACACUGAUCAAUUCCCUUGUUAUUGUGAAUUUUCUAAUGCAAAUUUUUGUGUCAAGGAACGAGAGAUAGGGCGAAUACUAAUGACAAGACAUCGCAAGGGUGAUUUGUACGUUUUAUCACCUCAUCAUGAAGCUCAUUUCUCAAAUAGGUUCGCUAAUGCCACGGACGAAGUUUGGCAUAAAAGGCUUGGGCAUCCACACAUUUCAACUAUUAACUUUCUAAAAUCCAGGGGUUUAAAUAAAAGCACUAGCGUAAAUUAAAAAAACUUCUCAAUGUGAGAGUUGUCAACUAGGAAAAUUAAGCAAAUUUCUAUUUUUACAGUCUUAAUAUGUUAGUUCUGAGCCGUUUGAAAAAAUUCAUUGCGAUUUAUGGGGUCCUGCACCUCUUCCUUCUAUUGUAAAUUUUCAGUAUUAUACUUGUAUUGUUGAUGAUUUAUCCAAAUACUGUUGGUUUAUCCCUUUACACCUCAAAUUUGAUUUCACCUCUGCAUACUUGGGCCUUUGAAUGCUAUGUGCACAGAAAAUUUUACAAAAAAAAUCAAAAUCUUUCAUUCGGACGAAGAAGGUGAGUUCCUUAAUUCCACAUUGAUUGGACACUUCAAGCAUAAAGGAAUAAUCCAUCAGCUUUCUUGCCCAUAUACUCCACAGUAAACUAGAUCUAUUGAACGUCGCCAUCACAUCAUAAGGGAAAUUGGGAGACUAUGUUGUUUCACAGUGGGCUUCCCAAGCAUUUUUGGGUAGAGGUAUUCCAAACUGUAGUCUUUUUAAUAAAUAGACUGCCAUCUUCGGCUAUUGAAUUUGAUACUCUUACCAUAAUAUCCUCAAUAGACAACCGGAUUAUUCAUGCUUAUGAGUUUUUGGCUCACUUGUUUUCCCUAUACUUGGGACACUAAAAGGAAUAAGUUUGAUCCUAAAACGCUCCCUUGUGUCUUUGUAGGUUUCAACGACAACUAUAAAGGCUAUUGAUGUUAUCAUCCUCCUGGUUGAUGAUUUUUCAUCCCUCGCCAUGUUGCCUUCUUAGAAGAGUCAUUUCCUUAUAAAUCAGCAGAAAAACAUACUUUUAUUGGUUCUUUUAUUAUUACAGAAUUUAAUGAUUGGAUUGAUACAACUAGGACUGAUGAUUCCUCUCUACCAUUUCAGGAUUCGAUACUUGCUGCAAUUGGUGAUAAAUUGAACUCGGUCAUCACCACAUCAGAUGGCAAAGAUGAAAUUCAUGAGGCAUUUGAAACACCUGAUAACCAUCCAGACCAUGAAAGAAUUAUUUCAGAUGAAAAUGCCAACAUUGGUUCCUCAGACAAUUCACAAAGUGUUUUACCCAUCUUCCCUUCGACUUCUUCUAUUGAACAAGAUUCCUUAUUGAUUGGUAAUGAUCAUCCUCUCAUUGAAUUAGCACCCACUUGUAACACUGAAGGAUCUAAUGUUUUCGUUCCUUUACUAGAUGUAAGAGCUAUUACCACAGGACAUCAUAUGGUGACGAGACUCAAAGAUGGGAUCAUCAAGCCAAAUCCCAAUUACUCUCUUCAAGUAUCUCAGCAUGAGAUUCCACAAUAACCACAAAAUGUUAAAAUCGCUCUUCAGCAUCCUGGAUGGCACAAAGCAAUGCUUGAAGAACUUGAACAACACCUGGAGACUUGUUCCACGGAAUCCAGAGAUGCAUGUCAUAGGUUCUAUGUACGUGUUUAAAUCGAAAUUAAAACCAGAUGGGUCCCUUGACCAUCGUCAAGCUCGACUUAUAGCAAAAGGAUAUCAUCAAGUGGAUGGAAUCGACUGCUUCGAAACAUUUUCUUGUGUCAUUAAGCCAAGAUCUAUUCGUAUUGUCAUUAGCCUCGCUAUUGUUUGCCAUUGGGAAAUUCGACAAUUAAAUGUAAAAAAUGCUUUUUUAGAUGGGGUGAUUACAGAGGACAUCUAUCCUGGUCUAGCUGAUCCUACUCAUCCGACCUAUGUAUGUAAACUCGAGAAAGCCUUGUAUGGACUCAAGCAAGUGCCCAGAGCAUGGUUUGAUCAAUUUAGCUCAUUUAUCAUACAAUUUGGUUUCUAUUGCAGUCUAGCGGAUCCAUCUUUGUUCAUUUAUCACUCGUCCCGUGGUAUUUUAGUUCUGUUACUUUACGUCGAUGAUAUGUUGCCUACAGGUUCAAGCGCAUAAUUCCUAAAUCAAUUUACACUCUUAGACAUGACUUAUAUGGCUGAUUAUAAACGAAUGAACACCCCUCUAGAAACAAAGAUCAGUAGUACCGUCGAUGAUCCUCCUCUUGUUGAUCCGAGCUCCUACCGUAGUAUUGUAGGCGCACUUCAGUAUUUAACGCACACACGACCUAAUCUUGCAUUUAGUGUUAAUCUCGUCUCUCAAUUCAUGCACGCUCCUUGCACUUCACACUUAAAAAUGGUCUGACGCAUUCUACGCUAUGUGAUAAGUGUGUUUUUACGCACUUAAUUAAUAUCUAAACAUGUUAUUUAUUGAUUAAAAAUGAAUGAAAUUCUACUUACAAUUAUGUAAUAUUUGCUUUUGUAAGUCAAAAAUCACCAGAGGGAAGCGAACAAGGCAAAAGGGAAUGAAAGGACCAAAAGUGCACAAAAAUGUGAAGUUGAGGACCAAAGUGCACAAGUACCGAAAGUUGGGGACCUAACGUUGCAAUUUUGGAGGGCAAAAGUGAUAUGAAAAUCAAAUUUUGAGGACGAGAUUGUACAUGAUCAAAGUUGAGGGGCCUUGUGUGCAAUUAAAUGGUGGACUAAGUUGAAAAAAGAAAUGAAGAAAGCUAGCGCGCGACUUAUUUUAGGUGCUCACGCGGGAGACUCUUUUUGAUUUACCAAGACCAAAAGGGUUUCAUGGUGCGCGCGUGGGACGAAUGAGCGCCGCUUUCCGGCUAGGGGAAUUUUACCUAUUUUGCGUAAAUUUCGGAACUUCUUUCACAAUUUCACUUGACGCAAUUUUGGCCAUUUAAAUAUCGAUUUUUGGUCAUUUUUGGGGGGAUUGAAAGUUUUGAGGGCUAGGUCUUAUUCCUCUUUCAUUUUUUCUUUCUUUCUUCUUUCUUUUCUCUUCAUUUUCUUUUCUUUUCCUUUCCUUGGUAUUUUGAAGGCACAAUCUAGAGCACAAGGAGAUUCAAUUAAAGAUUUGGCAAGGCUUUGGGGAAAUCAAGAGCAAGCUCAAAAAGGGAUUUUAUUUAUACCUUGUAUUUUCUCCUUUAUUUUGUCAAACUUGCAAUGUAUUAUAUAAAAUAUUCUCCUUUUUAUCAUAUAUUUAACAUGGGCUAAAUAUUUGUGUUGAGAUUUAUGGUAGUAGCUUGACCUAGGUUUAAUUGAUUUUCAAUAUUUGCUAUUUGAUAUUAAAUUGCCUAUUUCCACGUGUUUCUACUAUUGUAUUUAUUGCAUUUUCAUUUAUGUGAUCAAUGAAUGAAUAUAUUUCAUGAAGUGUAAAUCAUUCGAGAGAAAAUUGCGCAUUUUAGAUCAAAUGGUAGAGACUCUAGGUUUGUAUAGAGGAUAGAGAUAUACCUCUAGCCCUAGGUGACCCAAUGAGCUAUUUUCACAGCAAUUUAAUGUGGUUGUUUGGUUGUAAUCGACAUAGAGAUAUAGUACGUUAAACCAAUCAAUUAGCGUUAAUUUCACUCGAGAGAGGUAAUUAGCUAAAGUUGAAAAAUUGGAUCUAACAUCGUAAAUGAGUAAUUCAUUAAUUGGCAUGUGGAGAAAUUAAUUAGGCAACGAUUAAGUGAAACCAUGAAUCCCAACCACGUUUUCUUCCCAAAUUUCCAAGAUUUACAUAUUUUCUUAGUUUGUAUGUUUUUCCUUAUUUUCUAAAAUCAACUCUUUAUUGUGUUCGUUUAUUUUCAUUGUUAGAUUUAAAUUGAUUGAAGUUGUGUAAUUUAAAGUAAACAUUUCUCGAGAAAUCGACAAUCCGGACUUAAACAGUCCACUUUAUUAUUUGGACGCGACCCGUGCACUUGCGAUAGUAUUUUAGCGAACAUUGUGUCAAAGGGAUGAUUUCUCUUGGAUUACAACUUUUCUCAUAGUCUACACUUGAUCUCUUUGUUUUCUCUGAUGCAAAUUGGGUAGGUUGUCCCACAACUAGACGUUCCACCACUGGGUAUUGCACAUUUCUUGGUCAGAACCUUCUCUCCUAGUGUGCAAAGAAACAAAGCACGAUGUCUGGAUCCAGUACUGAAGCCGAAUAUUGGUCCUUGGCUCAUACCACAGCUGAGCUUACUUGGCUUUCCUCCUUCGUGAUCUUAAAGUUCUUCUUCGUUCUCCACCAAUUCUUUUUUGUGAUAAUUUGACUGCUCUACACAUGACCGUUAACCCCGUCUAUCAUGCCCGAAGCAAGCAUAUUGAACUUGAUUAUCAUUUUGUUCGGGAACGGGUUGCUCUUGGUCACCUUGUCACACGCCAUGUUUCUUCUGCGAAUCAGAUUGCAGAUAUCUUUACAAAGGCUCUUCCCAAGCCCAAUUUACACUCUCCUCGCAGCAAGUUGUGUCUCCAACCCUGUCACAACUCGAGACAGGGUAUUACCAAGCGCAAAACAUGGAAAGAUAAAGAAGAAAAUAGCCGAUGUCUAUUUGCUCUAGUGGUAAGGACAUUGGCAUUUGCUGGCUGAGGUUCCGUGUUCGAGUCCUCUUACCAGCAUGGUGGUACUGUGCCUCUCCAAAAAAUCCCUCCAUACGUGUAGGGCCAAGCGGUGUAUACUAACCCGUAGGGCCAGGCCGGAGGUGGGGUUUCUGGAGUAUGGGGCCGCAGUGCGGUGGGGCCAGUCACUUUAAAAAGUUUACCCUACACAGUUUUAAGGUGCAACUUGGAUUGACUUGCUUGGCACUUUGUCAGACCAGGUGGGGAGCGCUCGGACCCUGGCCAGUUGGAGGCACAUCCUGCGAUUAACCGGACUGUGUGAAGAGGGGCCGGAUCACAGACCCAAGGAUUAGUCUAAAAUAGGACACCUUGUAAAAAAAAAAAAAAAAAAAAAAAAAAAAAAAAGAUAAAGAAGAAAAUAAAUCAGAGUGACACAAAAGGAAUCCUAGUCACAUACAAUUAAUCAGAUCAAUGGAAUUUCAAUUAAGACAAUUGAGAGCAAAGCAAGUAUUUAAAGCAAUGGAAAGGCAAUCAAAGCUACCAGGAUUCAUGGAAAGAUAAGGAAGAAAAUAAAUCAGAGUGCACACAAAAGGAAUCCCAAUCACAUACAAUUAAUCAGAUCAAUGGAAUUUCAAUCAAGACAGUCAAGAGCAAAGCAAGUAUUUAAGGCAAUGGAAAGACAAUCAUAGCUACCAAGAUUCACUCCUAAUUAAAUCAAUUUUUAUGGAAAAACAAUCAAGCGAGCCAAGUUGUCUUCCAAGUCAGUUCAGCAAUUACAGGAAAUUACUAGCUUAUAUAUGCUUGAUAUAGACUAGAAUUGGAAUCUGUUAGGAUUUGCUAAAAAUAGAGAAAGUCUGUAAUUAUCUCCACUGCACAAGGAACUUGUAUAAAUUCAACCAUUUUGCAUGUUCUCAAGCACGUUGAGCUGAGAACUCUUAAACCACAAUUUUCUUCUUAGUCUAAGUGAUACCAAGUGACAUUAAAUAAGAUGUACAAUUAAAAUGAGUCACAUAAUUCUAAAUUUUAAUUGAGUAUAUAACAUAGCGCUUGCUAAAUCAAUGUUAUAGCACCAGUGUGCAAAAUAAUGUUCGUGAAAAAUAUUCUUAAACAAAACUGAAAAACUUUAUGAAAGCUUAACAAAAAAAUUGAAGGUUUGAUCAAGAUAUUCAAAAUUUUUAUAUUAAAAAUUGCCUUAAAGUUUAUGUUACAAAAAUUAAGAAGUGGUUACAACUAAUUUUGAAGUAUUUUUUUUUCUAAAAUUAAAUAAUAAACUUAUAAAAUAAAUCAUAAUUGGCUUGGUUGUGGAAAGGUCCCUGUAAGUAUGAGGAAUGGACAAAUUUAUCUCAUAAAGAGCACGGUAGAAAACUAGAACUAGAUCAAGUUUCAACACCAGAGUCUAUGUUAAUAAUACGAAGUCAACUUGUCUUAACAAUGAAGGGAAAAUUAAAGUGAAGGUCUCUAACAUGUCAUAACAAUGAAGGAGCGAAAAACUGAAUAAAUCAUCAGGGCAAAAAAGAAAUGCACAGAAGAAAUUUACUGAGCGAAUUUAACGGGAGCAAUUAUUUGGAAGUACCAAGCCCAACUCACGAGCCACUCAUUUUCAUCAUCAUGGCCAUUGGCUGUGUUUCAGGACUCUACGCCUUUUAACUUUUUACUUGACUACCGAUAACUGAAUGAAAAGCAAAUUAAGUUAACCAAUAGACUAGCAUGCAUGACUCACCAACUCACAAAAUUUUAUUUAGAUUUCAAAAAAAAGAACUUAUAAUUUCACCCAGCUUUGGCGAUUCCAUUUCAAAAUGGUGACAAUUUUCUAAGUUUUGUGUUUAGCAUUAUUUUCAUAAAUGCUACCUGACCUUGCUCAACUAGCCAUGGUAGUUUAAACUACAUUCCCGUCAACUCCAAGAUGAUUUAUGCUAGUUGAUCACAACCUAUUCUAUAGCCAAUUGACCUGCUUCCGUCGACUCGACUCGACUCAUUUUUGGUCGAACAAUCAUUCUUUCCAGGCUCCAAGGUGAUAUUUUAUCCAAAUUUGAUUUAAGCUACUAAAAAAUGACUAUGGUCAAUAAAACACAAGGGUCAAUGAUUUGUUUAUAUUGCCAUUGAUAACCGAAGGGCCACAAUAAGCCAAAGUUUCCCACUUUCCCGUGACUUGAACCUGCACGAAAGCUCAUGAAAAUCAUAGCUUUCUAUCAUCAGUGAUUCACCGUCCACAUGACUGCAUCCAUUGCUCUCCCUUUUCUAUGCAUCGAACAAUGGCAGGUUCAAUGGUUAUGAUUUUGGAGGUGGGUUGGUACCAAAUCUGAAGCAAAUGGAAGGGCUUAACAACAUGUACAGCAGCAGCAGUGACAACGUUGGUGUGUUGGUAAUGAAAAAGAGAGUUAUGGUGAUGGUGGAUCAGUCUUCACAUUCCAAACAUGCAAUGAUUUGGACACUCACACAUGUAACUAAUAAGGGUGAUAUUCAUACUCUUCUCCGAAUUGUUAGUCCUUGGAAAUCUGAGUUGUGUGUUUUCCUCUCCUUGUCUUGCUACAUCACUUGGAUCCCGUUGCAAGGCCUUUAAGCCUGAGGCGAGUUUUUGUCUUUUAUCAGAUUAUGACCUUAGUUUUCUGAUGAAAUUGGCAAGUUAAAAGUUACUUAAAAUAACAUUUACUUACUUUCAAACUAAACAAAACAUGGGUUUUGUCCUGGCAAUACUCAGGUUGAAGUCGAAGCACUUGUAAUCCAAGGACCAAAGAUGGACACAAUAAUGAGCCAAGUGAAAAAGCUUGAGAUUUCUUUGCUAGUCUUGGGGCUCAACAAGUCCCACCAUCCAUUACUCAACUGGUGACUACUUUGUUCCAUGAGUAAUGCUAUUUGGACUUAACAUAAAAGAGAGAGAUUAUAAUAACUGAAUUUCUUUUCUUUUUUUUUUCUUUUUUUUUUCUUUUUUUUUUCACUUUCUCUAUGUACAAACAGCAUUAUCUAUGUCAUACUGGGACCUUUCCACGAUCGAGCCAAUGAUGAUUUAUUUAUAUUAGUUUAUCAUUCAAUUAAAAUUGACAGAGAAAAGCCUCGAUGAACAUGUGGCUUUAGCAAUCAUUGGAAAUGCAGCGGAUGUUGUAAAGUUAGAAGUUGAUUUAUAUUGCAAUUGGCAAGAUAAGGAUGCCCGCAAAACAAAUCUCCAAGGCAGAACCUCCUAGGAAGCAUUAGAAGAGCUUUCCAAUGAAGCUGAAAGGACUAUUAAGAAGUUCGUCAGAGAAGUAAACGAUUUCCUAAUGGAUAACCCUCUGGAUUGGCCAGUUAAGAUUAUAGCUGCUAACUCAAUGUACUGGAUCAGCCGAACUAUUUCUCUGGCCAGUGGCAAUAAUGAAACAAAUGAGGGACUGUUUAACCAUUUAUUCGUCGUGAAUGCAGAUAUAUGAGCAGCUUCCCUUACCAAUCUACCACAUGUCAUAACUAUGAAAUGCCACCAUAAUUCCGAAAAGAAAAGGCAAAGAGUGUUCCUCAAGCUGCCCUACUCUUGGAGAAACAGAAGAUAUUCUACAAAUUCUUCAGCACCAUGAGAUGUCAAACUUGGAUCCUGAUAAAACAGCUUACAUUGAUGAGUGGUGUACUUUUAUCGAGGAAUAUAAAGGGAAUUUUCUGGCCUCAAUAAUGAGUAUUGGAAGUGAAACUCAACAAUCCAACGAAGAACGUGUAGCUAUUGUACUUCAUGGCUGAGUGCGAGAACACAAGCAAGCAGGCAAGAAAGUUACUUCUUGAUUAUUAGCACACUCAUGGACUCAAUAUUAAUCUUAUCAGUCUCAGUUAGACCCUAACUUGUUUCUUUCCAAUUGAUGGUUGUAUCUUUUUCCUAUGUGUGUGCUUCUUAGAAAUGAAAGAGUACUCUUUUGUAUUUCGUACAUGACACAAAUAAUAUCUGGAUCGGCCUGCUGACAUGAACAUAGGUUGGUAAGAUUAUAUAAAUGAUCAAGAUAGAAGAUGAAAGAAAAAUAAAAUAACUAUAUGAUAUAAACCGAACUAAUAAAUUUCUUUAGAUGACAUUUGUUGCCACUAUAUUAAAAUAAAUAAACACAAAUCUUAUAAAAAUAUAGGACAAAUUAUAUUACCACACAAAAAAUUGAAGAUUAUUCUUUGUCAUCAAAUUUGAAUGUUUCAUUGAAAAUGUUGAUUAUAAUUAUCUGAUAGAAAUAAACUAAAUGUUAAGGGGUUAUAAACUAAAAAAUGUGAGGACAAAAUGGGAAACUAAAUGUUUACCACAUAUUCCUACGCUUUAAUAUUGUAGAUAAGGUAAGUAUCAAUGAAUAGUUAGAAAUGCUCCAAAUGAGUUUUGUCCAAGCUCACCCUUCUCAAGCCAAAUGCAUGUCAAUGCAAUGUAGGUUACAGGGCACGAAUAGGCAUUGUUGAUACACAAGUAUUUUGUAGUUUACGAGCUUGAAAUACUUGAUGAAGAUUGCUAGUCAAUAAUCAUGAUCGAGUAGUAUAAUUGAGAUCUAAUAUAAUUAAUCAUGUCAUGAUAUAAUAAUGCUAAUCGUUUGAAAUUUGGAAAUGAAAACAUAGCCAGUCGCCAAUUUUUAUAGCAUUAUUUCAUUUUAGUCACGAAACUUUUUUUGUUCCUAGUUUGUCAUUAAUUCAGUAGAAUUAAAAUUUAGAUUUUAAUCUAUGUCAAACUCAAUAACUAAAUUUAACCACACAUUUUUUGGGAUCCAUGGUUUUUCAACCGCAUAUAUUAUAAAAAUUUUAUCAAAAUUUACUAAAAAUGAUCUUAAUUCCCAUCAAACAGGGGAUAAAUUUUAAUUCUUUAUAUAAGUUAAGUUUUGUCUCCCGACUAAUAGAAAAGCGUCUUCUUGGAUGUUAUUCUUUCUUUUUACAUUUUCCUUUUAUUUUUUUAUUCCUUUAUAAAAUGCCAAUUUUAUUCUAUAGCACAACAUAGAAAUCAAUUGGGUAACUAGAGAUAAGGUAGAAUAUAGGACAAAAAUAAGUGUAAAGAUACCACGCACAUAAUGCUUUAGUGUAAAUUUAUUCACUAAACUCACAAGAAAAUUUAAUUAGAUUACUAAAUUUUAAUUUAUCUCAAUUGAUCAUUGAACGUCAAUUUAGUUUCAACAAAAUUACUAAAAUGCAAUUUUGUUUCAAUUUUCAUGACUUGGUCACGUGUCAUGUCUCUAAAUUGAUGAAAAUUGAUAAUUGGUAGCGUUAUCGCAAUAUAUCUAUCAACUAAUCAUCACAUAGCAUGCUAACUAACCAUAAUGUCACGUCAUAAAGUGUCAAAAAUACACACAUGUACACGACUUUAAAAUUUCUUAAACUAAAAACAUUGUCAUAACGUUUGUUCUACCAUAGCACUAAAUUUUGCUAGCAACAUUUCUUUAAGAACCCAAUAGAUCAUAUACAUAGCAAUACAUGAACAUCUAUGGCUCGAAACAUUAAGAGGAAUUCGAAUAAAGGGGUACUCAACUCUAUGGUCCAUAGAUUUGGAUGGAAUGUACAUAGUGAUAAAAACGGGGUGGGGCGGAGCUAGGAUUUUGGUUCAGUGCGGGCAAAAUUUUUUCGAUACCAGACAUCGAGGUUUUGGUCAUGGAUUUAAUAAUGAUAAAGAAAUAAAACAAUAUUAUGACAAUACUAAAAAACAAAAUGCUAAUUUCAUAUGUUAAAAAAAAUAUUAUUACAAUUUACACAAAUCGAAAUAACAAAAAAUAAGGGAAAAGAUUCAAUUGAAUGAAUGAAAGUGGCGAAGUCUGAAGGGACAAAGUCACAGACUCACAAUUCACAAAGGGUUGAAAUAAAUGAAUAGGUGCGGGUCAAUUGAUUCAAUUGAAUUUUGAGGGGAAUGGAUCUAAAAUGGGUCAUGGGCAUUGGGCUUCUCUCUCUUGGCUGGACAGUGGACAGGGAAGUGACUUAAACAAACAAAAAGAAAUUUACUUGGGCCUGUGGAGCUGGGUCCAAAAGCACUGUACAUAAUUGGGCUCCGUCCCUGGGGCGAAGAUAGAACAACCAUUACCAUUCUUGGCCCAUCAAGGACUUUCAGAAGGUGGGACAGCAAAUAAAAAAUCCUUAGUUACCAUCUCAUUUAAUUAAUAUUUUUUAAUAUUACUUUUUACUUUUUAAAUAUAUUAAUACAAAAAUAAAGUAAAAAGAUUCGACUUUAGUUUGAAAAAUUCAACGGAAGGACCAUGCUCUAUUCCCAUCAAGUUUACUAUUCGUGACGGGGCAAUGCAAAGGUAGGUUGGAGUAGGAAAUUUUGUAAUCCUUAAACGUGUGGGACGCGAAUGACAAUAACUACAGCUUACAAUACUAAAUGAUAUACGAUACGAAGAAACCUUUCAUUUACAGGGUGCCAUGAAGUGAUAUUGUGAAAAUUCUUCGACUAUAUUUCACGCAUUUGACCUCCAAUUGCGUUAAAUUGACUCCUAACAAACUUCAGUUAUCGUUUCGUGGUCCGAAUCAGUUAUUAGAUAUUUGCAAUAUGAUUUCGAACUUUGAAUUUCUUUUUUUAUUGCCCAUUUCGUUCAUUCUUCCAAUUCCACCAAUUUACCUUGAGUUUUACCUAACAAACAAAAUUAACAUCUAAUUAAGUUAUAGUUCAUCAAAAUUUAUUACAAUUAAUCUCAUUUAAUGACCAUAUAUCAGGCACAAGAGAAUGUUGGCCAGAAAUCUCAUUUAAUGAACUGCCAUGUAUAGCAAUUAUAUUAUUGUCUUUGUAAAGGAAUUUAUUGAAAUUUUUUCAUAUCAAAAGAACUAUCAUUAUUGAGUUAGUGGAAACUAUGGGUGUAAAUUUGGCUCGUCAGUUCGAGUAGCAGAUCCAAGCAUAAAGAUAUCGUAAGCUCUUAAAUUGAUUUGUUCAAGAAAAAUUGUACACGAAAUAUUUUUUUUGUACAAUUUUAACUCAACUUAAUUUGAUUGUAGCCAGUCCCAAGCCUCAAAAAAGGAGAAUUGCAACUUUUAUUUGAUUUAUAAUUCGUAUAAAUUGUACAAAAAUUUUUAAAAAUAUUAAAAUUGUCACAAAUUCUUUUAUUUAUUUAUUUUUAUUUUUUUUAUAAAAAAGCCUAGAUUUUUUGCCUGCGUGAAAGCUCAGCUCAGCUCGAACAAAAAAUAUGCCUGAAUCAUUUUUACUUGAGCCGAGCCCAAAUUUCAAAUUUUGGCUCGAUUUGUUGACAUCUCUAGUGAAAACACAUACCAGCCUUUUAUUAAAGUCAAAACUAAAUAAGUAAAAGGACAGAAAGAAGCAGACCAUGUGAAAAGCGCUGUCUAAAUUCAAUGAAAAAAAGCUUUGAGCGUUAUAGCCCCCCUCCAAUAGGAGGCGCCAUGUGUCUUUGAGUCUGGCUCAAAAACAAGGUCAAUAGCAGAAGAUGUCAAUAUCAAGAAAAAAAAAAGGUUGAACCCCAAGCUUGAGGGUCCCACUGCCCUGCCCCUAGAGUUUUGUGAGGGAGGUAAAUGUGGGAUGUGCCCCAGCAGGCCAGGGAACAAGAGCUACCUGUACAUUGCGCCUACAAGGAGUCCAAUUCCAUGUCUUAGGAAUCGAACCCCCACACUGCGGUUGUCAGCAAGGCGUGAAAUGACCUCACUCCUGUCCUUUGCACCACUGGGCUAUGCCUCUAGGGCAGCAGAAGACGCCAAUAUCACAUAGAAAGGAAGUCUUUCAACUUGACAUUUCAAUAAGAUGGCAAUCCAUAGAAUGGAUAGGAGAAACUCUUGGGAGAGAAAUAGAAAAGAAUUUCAGAGACAAGUUCAUGGAUUCAUUUCAAUGCGGUAUGGGAUGUUACAAUCAGAGUGAAUGCAAGGAUGUAUGCGACCAAGAUGUAAUGAAAGUUUUGCGAAACAAAUUGGAUUCCCCAAUGCCAUGGAUUGGCAUGUAUAUUGCAGCAGCUUUUGUAGUCUACUCCCUUUCAAUGGCUGCUGACACUUUCCAUGGUUUUCGUAGUAAAAUGUUGUGGUUCCUAUGUAAGUACUUCUGUUUCAAUGCCAUGUCUUUGACACUAUUAGCUGUCACAUUGAAACUACCAGUCGAUCUUACUGGUUGUAUGGCGGGGGCUCUUGACAUUCUUGCAUGGGUUAGUAGCCUCGUUUUGAUGUCAACUGCAAUGGCAAGUUUUAUGACAUCUUUGGGAUCCAUGGACGGUAAUGAGAUGGUACUAAACCUAGCUGCUUUAGGUAUUAUGAUAAUUACAGUCAUUGGCAAUGUUUAUGUCCACCUUAUCACAGUGUAUUUUGAUGGUGUUCUCCUAAUAGUUUGCAAAGAAAUUAUAGCAAAGGGUUUUAUCUUUAUUUCACUUGUUAUCUUUUUUUCUUCAGCUUUGACCGUUCUAACUACCAGAAGAUACAUAGAAUGCAAGUACCAAGAAAUGCGCAAAAUGGCUUUAGAUGAAGAACAAGUGGAUGGGCAAAAAUUUCACGUUAACAAAUUGAGACUAGUGGUAAAAAAAUAUUGGGUGAUGGCAGUGACAGGAUGCCCUCAGUUUGUAAUGGCACGUAGUGUGACUUGAACUGCUUCAGGUCUGAUGUGCGUAUUAGUAACUCUCACUUUAGUAGAAGCUUAUAUUCGAAUACCAAAAGUAUACCAAGUACAUGGCUCUAGGUUCCCUACUUUAUAUGCCUAUAAGUGGUCAACAAAAUGGAUUAUAUAUGUUCAGUCAAUUGAAGUGGAAUUGGGUACUAUUGUCUCUACAUUCAGAUUGUUUACUGCUGUCGAGUUAAAUUGUUCAGAUAUAGGCAGGAAAAGCUUAAAAAACGAGUUAAAAAUCAAAAAUUAUUGGAAUCAAAGACUUAAGGAUUGGAGAGAAAGCUCUUUACCUUUCAAGUUCGACACCACAAGUGGAAAAAAUUUCUUCAUGCCGAAAGAAGAAUACUUCUGAAUUUCUGUCUUAGAGUACAGUAUAUAUUGGUUUGGACAAGCAAGCUUGUUCUUCUCAUUUCUACCUCGUUCUUCCAACACAUAAAGAAGCUAAAGAUAUUUGUUAUUGGUGCUUCUGAUGAUAGCGAAGGAUCGAAAUCUGGUAGUGAUGCACAGUUGGAUCUUACUCGUUAUGUUCUUCUACUUCAAUGAGAGCCUGGAAUUCCCA